AGUUUUCCGAAUCUGCGCUGAGAUUUCAUCAGACACCAACACAUUAGAGCUUGUCAGACUCCUAAGAUAAGUGAAGUC
rnacentral:pre_miRNA from 1 species